AGGGUGCCUGAAGGUGUAAUUCAGAGGUGUACAGCUUAGGGAUCUACAGUAUAACAGAUUCUUUUACACAUCCACUAGAACUGGAAAGUGACUGGAUCAUGUAUCUGUUAAAAAAUGUAAAAAAUAGGAGCAGAGAUUUACAGUUGUAAACAAAAUGUACUUGCAUGCAGAGAAUAUCUAAUCUUUACUAUCUUUGCUUUGUUCCUUUCUACGUAGACCCUUAGAACAUGCCUCACUUUCCCCCAUUUUUAAAAAAAAAUACAAACUCUAAGCUUUUUCUUUAUAAUUGGUUUAAAUGUAGAGAAUUAUCUUUUUGCAGUAGAGUGUACUCAUGACAAGUAAUAUGUGAAAGUAGUUCUAGGUCAAAGGUUUUAGUACAUUACGCCAGGGUAAGAUUUUUUCCACAUUAAGCAUUUAAGAAUGUCUCCAGUUGUGAUGCAAAUAUAUCUGGAACUGCCCCUCUUUUCAGUGUCGAUCACUGAGCAAAGCUUUCUCGGGAAGUCUAUGGUUUGAGAAACUGUGGAGUGAAACGUACAGAGCAAACUAACAACUUGUCUGGGAUCCUGCUAAAUAUCAGCAUCACCUAUGCAAGUUGACACGGGCUCCUUGGGAUGGGUGUAAAAAGUGCCGAUACCCUCUUCUCAGCCUCGACUGGUACAUUUCUGCCACAGAAAUGCUUGUCCAGUGCUGUGCGUUGUUCCCUCGCUGUUACACCAGAUGCCCAAACGGCUCAGCUGUGUCCCGGAGCUUCCAGUUACUGCAAUCGCUUUGCUUUUUGGCCCCACUUAUUGCCAGCUCACCGCUGUGCUUUGUCUGCGUCGUUAUGGAGCAUAACGACGCUCCAAUUGUGCACUUGCCCUGCCUGCAUCUGCCACAAAGCCCAUCAUGACACACACAUUUGUAAAUGCUCAACAAGCGCCAGCUGUCUUAAAAUCUUAUUGUUGAAAUAACUUAAGUGAUGCAUGUUAAUGUUACCAUAAAAUCUCCAUCAUGACACUGUGUGGGGGCCAGUCUGGGGCGUAAAUGACAUCCAACCAGUUAAAAAAAAAAAAAGCACACCCUUUUGAUUAAUUUUGUUAUAUCGCUUAAGAUAUGUAUUAUUGAUACUGUUCUAUCUAUAAACAUUACAGGUGUUCAAUAAGACAUGGUGUAAAUGUCAUGCAAUACACAUUUUCAAACAUUCCACAGCAGCAAGUGCUACUGACACUGGCAGCGAUUCUUUUUCCUGUGAUGUUAAUAAACUACUAAGAAUAUUAAAUACUUCUGCCAUGUAUAAUUAAUUUUAUGCUACACAUUUUACUUUUGUCACAGUGUAAAAAUUAUGUGUUAGUGAACUCAAUUAAGGGCUAGAGAAAAUAUAUAUACCUAUCAUUACAGUGUCAUGGCACUGACUAAGGAUUUAGAAAAAUAUUAUAAAUGGUCAAAUGGAAGCAAUUUAAUCUAUUUAAGGCCACCACCAUAUUUUCUCUUUAAUAAAAAAAAAAAGUUAAAGUUACAGCUUGUACAGAUUUUAAAACAUGAUAACUGCAAAGGUUUUUUUUUUUUAAAUAUAUAGACACUUCAAUUAAUUCAAAUGUAUUUACUGAUAAUUUCUAAGUUUAUAGUUACAGAUUAUAGCCCAUCUGUUACAGUUUGUUUUAGUGGCCAAGUAAAAGGCACAGAACUGUCAUUACAGGGUAAAAACUAUGACAAAAAUGUCAAUAAAAUAACUAUUACACAGCGGCAUUUCAUGUGAUUGUUAUGACAUGACAGAACUAUAAAAUGUAUAAAAUCUUUUUGAAGUCCUCACUUUUGUUCAGCUUUAUUAUCUGCCAAGCAGUCCCAGCACGGCGUCACCAUUACACACUAAAAUAUCGCUGAGCUGUAGUCUGACGUCCAUGUGCGGUUAUUCCCCCCCACCGUGUUAUGACGCAUCGGCAUUUCACCAAACAUCUUUAUCUGGUUGUGACAAUGACAUAAAAGUUGACAAAAGCAUUUGGCAGAUGGCCCCUGUUGAAAUAAGCAUUUAUAAAUGAUUCUGUACGUUCAGUUGUCAUGAAGGGCUUAUGUAGGUGUCACAGCCUUCUGUGCCCUUCAGUAAAGUUUUACACAAUUAUUAAAACGCCUCACCUCCCUUUCCUUGCCACUAGACCAAGUUACAUUUAGGCCCAUAAAAUGCAUCAAGUUCUUUUAUUUUUACCUACUGACAAAGAAAAUUAACCACAGUAUUAUUACACUGACCACGAAAGAUCAAAAAAGUCUAGGAGGGAAAAAAUGUAAGCAAUUCUACAGUCUUCCUGUUUCUCUUUAUAGGAGAAAGUUAAAAAAAAAAAUACAUUUCUCCAAAUUGUUACUUUUUUUUAUUGUGAAAUUACAAAGUUCAAAGUUUGAAAAUUGCAGUAAACCUGCAAAAGCAAAGAAAUCUGGUAAAAUGUUCUCCCAGAGGCCAUAUCUUCAAAGUGACUGACAAAAUCUUGUUUUAAAUAAAUUCAACAUCUUGCAAUGUCUACUCAAGCAUAAAGAUUAAAUCCAAAUAUUUAUAAAGCUUAAGCAGAAUAUUUAAUUAAUCUAAUGUUUGAUCACGUGGAAGAGAAGGUAUAAUUGGUGUCAAAUUUAUAUGUAAUUUUGUUGAAUUUGAAAUGUAUAACUAAUUUAAAUGUAUAGCUUUAUGCACUCAAACGUUUUUUGGAAAAAAGUCCCAAGAAGAUAGUUAUAGCAUACAAUUUAGCCCACAUUCCAAUGGUGAAAAAGCACAGAGUUAUAUAGACUCUAGGAAAUGGCAAGUAAUUAAGCAUGAGCUACUGUCAUUAACCAUCUACACAAAGCCUGCAAAUUCUGCUUUGGCUUGACAUAUGUAUAGGGUUAUGCAUAAGUAAUUGGGUGUGAUGAGACAUCUACAUUUUGCAGUUAUAUUAGAAAGCUGGCUGGCUGAUUAGAUGUGUGUGGAAUUCAGGUGUAGUGUAUAAACAUCUAACAAUUUAGUAGUGUGCAAAAUGUUCUAUUACAUUUUGAUUUCAAAAGCAAGAUUUAAGCUAGUAUGCUUGCCAUUUGCUUUCACGGAAAAAGAUAAGGAUAAUACUUUAUGAAAUAGUGUCUAUUAGAAACAGGAGUACAAAAUUACUGCAAAAUACAUCACAAUUUAUAAACCUUUGUGAACCUGCUUGAUUGAACUAAAAGUCUGUGGUGUGUGAGAAUCAAAGUGGUGGAAAAAAA